UACGAAGGGGGCUAGCGUUGCUCGGAAUCACUGGGCGUAAAGGGUGCGUAGGCGGGUCUUUAAGUCAGGGGGGAAAUCCUGGAGCUCAACUCCAGAACUGCCUUUGAUACUGAAGAUCUUGAGUUCGGGAGAGGUGAGUGGAACUGCGAGUGUAGAGGUGAAAUUCGUAGAUAUUCGCAAGAUCACCAGUGGCGAAGGCGGCUCACUGGCCCGAUACUGACGCUGAGGCACGAAAGCGUGGGGAGCAAACAGG
rnacentral:rRNA from 1 species